CCUAGCAACGGCGGCCGCGGGGGGACCGGCCCGCCACGGGGGAGCCAGGGCCGCCACGGCGGCGGGGGUGGCUGCCGGGGACGGCGGCAGGCUCCGGCCCCCCUGAGCGCGGAGGGAGCGUGGGGGCUCGUUCUUCUCACCGCAGGCAGGGCGGCGGCAGCCACAGCCUUCACCGCCUCAGGGAGCGCGGGGGCCCUGCGUCCCUGCCGCCGGUGCCACCGGGGGCCGCAGCACUCGGAGGGGGACCCUUGCGACCCUGAGCAAAGCCACCGCUCAUGCUGGCACGGGCACCCCUUUCGGGCUGAGGGUUAGUGGUGUCUGGGGCUGAAUUUCCUUCAUUUUCCCUGCUUUUACCACGAAGCCAGGCCCUGCCCAGCAAGGACUUCAGCUCCCUGACAGGGGUAAAUGAGACGGAAGGAGAGGCCGGGAACCCCCGCUUUUCCUCUGUGUUGUGAGGUUAUAAUAUAGACACCAGUCAGAGAAAUACUGGCAUGAAAGAAACAUAAAUGGAAAUGUGUGCAUCAGAGGUGAUCAGGAAAAAACAAUGACCAGUAACAGAACGGCCUGUGCACUCCCAUCAGUCAAGCUCAGGAGGUGUGAGCUCCCAUCCAGCUUGGAGAACCACACUGGUAAGGCUCAGGACCAACCAUGCAGCCGAAGACACUGUGCCCCAGCAAGAGGAGGAUGCAGCAGACACUAUUGCUCCUCCUGCCAGCCUGCGGGGAAGGCGAGCACAGUGAAGGAAAACCCCAAACAACUGCUGACUCUGAGAGGACAGAGAACUGUCUCAUUUAUCAUCUGCCAGUGAAAACCCCAGAGACACGUUUUACAGCUGGCAUCCCUUGUCCUCUACAUCAUAUACUGGGAGUCCUGGGCAGACAAGGUGGGAACACAACAGGCCUGAGAGUAGACAACUGAAAUAUCUGAGAGGAUGCGAAUGGGACUAGCAGAUGCCAGGCCAGCCAACACAUCCUUGGAAGAAGGAACAGUUCUGGGAGCAUGGUCAGAGCAAGCCGGGCUAUGCCAAGCACCCUGCAACUGCACCUCUUGGAGCCUGCAGCGUUACUGUUGCGCUGGAGCUUGGUGUAAAUCCAGCAUCCUUCCUAACAAGCCACCCACAAACCACACGCUCCCUGGCAAGGCCUGUUACAACCUACAGUCAUUCAAACAAAACAUUGAGAAAGGGAGGGAAAAAAUAAAAUCAUGUCUGCCACUAA